GUGCAGCAGUCAGUGCCACUCAGGACACAACAUGGACAUGAGGGCACCUGCUCAGCUCCUGGGGCUCCUGCUGCUCUGGCUCUUAGGUGCCAGAUGUUCCGGCCAGACAGUAACCCAGAGUCCAUCCGUGGUGUCUGCACCUGUGGGAGGCACAGCCACCAUCAAUUGCCAGUCAAGUCAGAGUGUUUACAACAACAAUAAUCUAAACUGGUUUCAGCAGAAACCAGGGCAACGUCCAAAGCUCCUGAUCUGGGGUACAUCCACUUUAGCGUCUGGGGUCCCCUCGAGGUUCAAGGGCAGUGGCUCUGGGACAUCAUUCACUCUCACCAUCAGCGGGGUGCAGGCUGAGGAUGCAGGAAUCUACUACUGUGCUGGAGGUUAUUAUACUAGUGGUAGUUACACUUACACAGUGAUACAAGCCUGAACAAAAACCUCCCAUGAAAGCAGAAGUGAGAUCCUGAGCUGGCCUAGGUUCUCCUGGAGACAAUUUACCAACAGUCAUUCUCUGUUAGGGCCAGCCUUCUAUGGUUCCUAUAAGGUAGUUAGAAAUGCCCUUGUACUACUCUGUAGCCUCCCUCAUUUCCUUUUACUUGGCAUUUCCAGUACAGUACUGAUGUAAAGGAAAGAAGUGAUUAUGCUUGAGUACUCUUUGCUACAAGACAACUUUUGAUUCACCCUGGAAAAGGAAGCAUCAUGGAUAUUUUAAGCUGAAAUUUUAAAUAGAGUGUAUUGGAGUCCAAGUUAUGUUGAUUUGAUCUAGGAAUGUGUAUCAGAGAUGGUGAUCCUUAAAACGUUUGAUUCUGUGUUGUCUUUGAAUACAAUUCCCCUUCACCACUAAGGAACUGGCUCCUGAUGCUAUGGUUCUCAGGGCUGGAUGUGAUGCUCACAGCUGCCUAUAUCCUCCCAGGCGAGUUCUGCAGUCCUUCGUCCCUCGGUCAGCCUGUAGGUGCAGAUGAAUGAUCAGAAUUUGUCUUCUGACAUCCAUUCUCAAGGUACAUUGGGUUGUUUGCCCCCAAACCCAUGUUGACUUUUGAAGUGCUAUGCUAUCUCAGGACAAUACUGAAGCAACAAUGUUGGGGUACACUUCAAUAAGAGACUAAUAGAAUUAUGAUUCCUU